rnacentral:tRNA from 1 species
GAGCGUAUAGCUUAGUGGCAGAGCAUUUGCUCAGCCUGCAUGAGAUCCUGGGUUCAAUCCCCAGUACCGCCA